AUGCAAGUCGAGCGGUAGAGAGAAGCUUGCUUCUCUUGAGAGCGGCGGACGGGUGAGUAAUGCCUAGGAAUCUGCCUGGUAGUGGGGGAUAACGUUCGGAAACGGACGCUAAUACCGCAUACGUCCUACGGGAGAAAGCAGGGGACCUUCGGGCCUUGCGCUAUCAGAUGAGCCUAGGUCGGAUUAGCUAGUUGGUGAGGUAAUGGCUCACCAAGGCGACGAUCCGUAACUGGUCUGAGAGGAUGAUCAGUCACACUGGAACUGAGACACGGUCCAGACUCCUACGGGAGGCAGCAGUGGGGAAUAUUGGACAAUGGGCGAAAGCCUGAUCCAGCCAUGCCGCGUGUGUGAAGAAGGUCUUCGGAUUGUAAAGCACUUUAAGUUGGGAGGAAGGGCAUUAACCUAAUACGUUAGUGUUUUGACGUUACCGACAGAAUAAGCACCGGCUAACUCUGUGCCAGCAGCCGCGGUAAUACAGAGGGUGCAAGCGUUAAUCGGAAUUACUGGGCGUAAAGCGCGCGUAGGUGGUUUGUUAAGUUGGAUGUGAAAUCCCCGGGCUCAACCUGGGAACUGCAUUCAAAACUGACUGACUAGAGUAUGGUAGAGGGUGGUGGAAUUUCCUGUGUAGCGGUGAAAUGCGUAGAUAUAGGAAGGAACACCAGUGGCGAAGGCGACCACCUGGACUAAUACUGACACUGAGGUGCGAAAGCGUGGGGAGCAAACAGGAUUAGAUACCCUGGUAGUCCACGCCGUACACGAUGUCAACUAGCCUUUGGGAGCCUUGAGCUCUUAGUGGCGCAGCUUACGCAUUAAGUUGACCGCCUGGGGAGUACGGCC
rnacentral:rRNA from 1 species